AAAGCAGACUUAUCUUAUCGCCUUGAAUUGAGUUCAAGGAGGAAAGUCCGGACACCAAAGAGUAAUCAUAGCGGAUAACAUCCGUCCAGUGUAAACUGAGGACAAGUGCAACAGAAAGCAAGUACAGUUCGGCUGUAGUGAAACCAGGUAAACUCUAUGAGGUGCAAUGCCAUGUAUAUUAGAGCUUGAGGGCUACUCGCUCGAUUCUAAAGGGUAGGCAGAUUGAUUCUAAGAGUAAUUUUAGAACUAGAUAAAUGAUAAGAACCUUUUUAAGGGACAAAAUUCGGCUUAUUAGUCUGCUUUUUUA
rnacentral:RNase_P_RNA from 1 species